GAUGAAGAACGUAGCGAAUUGCGAUAUGUAAUGUGAAUUGCAGAAUUCAGUGAAUCAUCGAAUCUUUGAACGCACAUUGCGCCCCUUGGUAUCCCGAGGGGCAUGCCUGUUCGAGCGUCAUUUCACCACUCAAGCCUGGCUUGGUGUUGGGCGACGUCCCCUUUGGGGACGCGCCUCGAAACGCUCGGCGGCGUGGCACCGGCUUUAAGCGUAGCAGAAUCUUUCGCUUUGGAAGUCGGGGCCCCGUCUGCCGGAAGACCUACUCGCAAGGUUGACCUCGGAUCAGGCAGGGAUACCCGCUGAACUUAAGCAUAUCAAUAAGCGGAGGA
rnacentral:misc_RNA from 1 species